AAAAAAUGCAAACCCUGAGUUUCCGUGUCUAACUUUAACUGUUCAUCUUAUAUGAAAUUUUUUUAUAAUUCGUAUUUUCAUUGUUGUUAGAUGAUAAAACAUGAUUAAUAUUUUAUGCGUGACUUGUCUUUUUAAUUUUUUCAUAUUUUUUUCAAAUAAGACGGACGGUCAAACGUUGGGCACGGAAACCAGGGUUUGUCUUUUU
rnacentral:pre_miRNA from 1 species